AGAAGGCCUGCUGAAGACAGAGACAGAGAUUGGAGUUAUGCAGCCUCAAGACAAGGAAGGCCUAGAACCACCAGGAGCUGGAAGAGCUAGGUCUUAUCAUCAUCAACCUCUUCAUCUGAAUGAGAAAACUGAAGCACAGAGAAGCUAAGCUAGUUGCCCAAAGUCAUCAACUAGCAAGUGAUGGAGCUGAGAUUCAAUCUAGGCAGGUUAGUAGCAGAGCCUAUGAAUUUAACCGCUACUCUAUGCUAGAAGCUACUGACGGUGGCUGCCUUUGGGGUGGAGGCACUGCAAGCCAAGUUAUGUUGAUCGACUUUUACUGCAUCCCUUUUAUAUUGUUGGACUUUUAAAUAUGUAUUCCUAAAGGUAAAGGCAUUUCCACCCAGGAGGGGGCUUGACUGGAAAAUUCCUAUUUAUCUUUCAGAACCUGACUCCUCUAGGAAGCUUUUCCUCAUCCUGCUCCAACGUCUUUGCUCUCUGUGCCUAUCUGUGCUCAUCUCUGUGCCUAUACCAAGUACCUGAUGUGUAAUUCAUUCCCAGGAAAUGUUUGCUAAAUAAACAUUUCCCAAAAGCCACCUCUGGACCUUCUAGACUCUGUUACCUUGUCUAACAUUGCCUGCCAGACAAUUCUUCCUAAAAUGCUACUUUCUCAGUGUUAUUCCUUUGCUCAAAAACCUUCACAGAUUCCUAUUUCUUUUCCCCAUUGAGUUUCCAGGUUGGCAACAGGCAGGCUUCUCCCCACCUAACUAAUCUUGCUCACAAGUCCUUCAAUUUCUACCCAGCUAUCAAGACUUGCCUCCAGGAAGCUACAGAGGGUGACUUCAAGCCUUGGCAAGAGCUUUCUCCUCUGCCUCCUAUGAAUUGGGUCUCUACUGCCACAAUUUAGCACGUGACCUGUCUGAGAUUGCCUCUUACAACGAGUGAACAGGCAAUGUGGCUCUCACUUCUCUCUGGGCCCCGUUCUUCUUGGAACAGCAUCAUAAACUCACCCAGCCUCCAGGAGUGCAACAACAAAGCUUUACAACAAACGUUGGCAAUCAUAUGGGUACUCACCAUUUAGGGAUUGUCAUUGUGGGUCAGCUUAUAGAUUUCUUUGCUUCAUCUAAAAGUCCUUAUUUUUUGGCACCAAAAUUCUUGGCUGCUUCUUGAGGACUUUCAGUCUCCCUCCUCCAUCCUUUGGCAACGAAUGGUCCUUUCUUCAUUUCAAAUCUAUUAUCUUCCUGGCUCCCCUGUCCCUGUUGGCCUGCCCUUCUCUCACUGCGCCACUCCACUCCAUCUUCCCUCAGGAAGGAGCUAGGCUGACCUCCAGGUCUGUGUAUCUCACUGCUUACUGGGGGGCUCAGCCAGCAGCUGCAAUCCAUCUGGCCCCAGAGUGAACUCUCUAGGCCCUCUCCUUCCCCCGACAACCUCUUUCUCCUUGCACUCAUCCUGUCGUGAUGAAGCCAGCACCCCUGUCCCUACGCUGCUCUCGUCCCCAUGCUGGUCUUGUGCCCAUGAUGGUAGUCAUGCUUAACACCUCCCUCUCCCUUAGUUCCCAUGACCCCCAUCAUGACUCAUGCUAUUGUCUCUUCUCUCAAACUCUGGUUCUGGAAAUUUCCACCUGGUUACUCCUUUAUCGGGGUACCAUCUCCACUCUGACAUAUCCCAAACUGUACUCAUCAUCACAUGAAGUAUCUUUUAUCUUAAAACUGGCUCAAAAGAUCGAGUUUCCUGACUUUCAGUGCCACGAUUGAUAGGUUCACUAUUGAAGCAACCCGUCCUUUUCCUCUCCAGCUAGUCACUGACUCUGGCUGAC
rnacentral:lncRNA from 1 species